rnacentral:rRNA from 1 species
UACGGAGGGGGCUAGCGUUGUUCGGAAUUACUGGGCGUAAAGGGCGCGUAGGCGGCCUGCUAAGUCGAACGUGAAAUCCCCGGGCUCAACCCGGGAACUGCGUCCGAGACUGGCGGGCUUGAAUCCGGGAGAGGGAUGCGGAAUUCCAGGUGUAGCGGUGAAAUGCGUAGAUAUCUGGAGGAACACCGGUGGCGAAGGCGGCAUCCUGGACCGGCAUUGACGCUGAGGCGCGAAAGCCUGGGGAGCAAACAGG